GGUCGGUUAGCUCAGUUGGUUAGAGCGUGGUGCUAAUAGCUAAAGCUAGUUAACGCCAAGGUCGCGGGUUCGACCCCCGUACUGACCA